rnacentral:rRNA from 1 species
AGUGAACGCUGGCGGUAGGCCUAACACAUGCAAGUCGAACGGCAGCACAGGAGAGCUUGCUCUCUGGGUGGCGAGUGGCGGACGGGUGAGGAAUACAUCGGAAUCUACUCUGUCGUGGGGGAUAACGUAGGGAAACUUACGCUAAUACCGCAUACGACCUACGGGUGAAAGCAGGGGACCUUCGGCCCUUGCGCGAUUGAAUGAGCCGAUGUCGGAUUAGCUAGUUGGCGGGGUAAAGGCCCACCACGGCGACGAUCCGUAGCUGGUCUGAGAGGAUGAUCAGCCACACUGGAACUGAGACACGGUCCAGACUCCUACGGGAGGCAGCAGUGGGGAAUAUUGGACAAUGGGCGCAAGCCCGAUCCAGCCAUACCGCGUGGGUGAAGAAGGCCUUCGGGUUGUAAAGCCCUUUUGUUGGGGAAGAAAUCCAGCUGGCUAAUACCCGGUUGGGAUGACGGUACCCAAAGAAUAAGCACCGGCUAACUUCGUGCCAGCAGCCGCCGUAA